rnacentral:rRNA from 1 species
CGGCAAGAGCUCAAAUUUGAAAUCUGGUUCUUUCAGAGCCCGAGUUGUAAUUUGUAGAGGGUGCUUUGGCAGCAGUUCCGGUCUAAGUUCCUUGGAACAGGACGUCACAGAGGGUGAGAAUCCCGUACGUGGUCGCGGAUUGCUGCUAUGUAAAGCCCCUUCGAC